rnacentral:rRNA from 1 species
UACGGGAGGCAGCAGUGGGGAAUAUUGCACAAUGGGCGCAAGCCUGAUGCAGCCAUGCCGCGUGUAUGAAAAAGGCCUUCGGGUUGUAAAGUACUUUCAGUCGUGAGGAAGGUGUUAAGGUUAAUAACCUUAGCAAUUGACGUUAGCGACAGAAGAAGCACCGGCUAACUCCGUGCCAGCAGCCGCGGUAAUACGGAGGGUGCGAGCGUUAAUCGGAAUUACUGGGCGUAAAGGGCACGCAGGCGGUUAAUUAAGUUGGAUGUGAAAUCCCCGGGCUUAACCUGGGAAUGGCAUUCAAGACUGGUUAGCUAGAGUCUUGUAGAGGGGGUUAGAAUUCCAUGUGUAGCGGUGAAAUGCGUAGAGAUGUGGAGGAAUACCGGUGGCGAAGGCGGCCCCUGGACAAAGACUGACGCUCAUGUGCGAAAGCGUGGGGAGCAAACAGGGAUUAGAUACCCGU